AUUGAACGCUGGCGGCAUGCCUUACACAUGCAAGUCGAACGGCAGCACGGGAGCAAUCCUGGUGGCGAGUGGCGAACGGGUGAGUAAUAUAUCGGAACGUGCCCGGUCGUGGGGAUAACGUAGUGAAAGCUACGCUAAUACCGCAUACGAUCUACGGAUGAAAGCGGGGGAUCGCAAGACCUCGCGCGAUUGGAGCGGCCGAUAUCAGAUUAGGUAGUUGGUGAGGUAAAGGCUCACCAAGCCGACGAUCUGUAGCUGGUCUGAGAGGACGACCAGCCACACUGGGACUGAGACACGGCCCAGACUCCUACGGGAGGCAGCAGUGGGGAAUUUUGGACAAUGGGCGCAAGCCU
rnacentral:rRNA from 1 species